GACGAACGCUGGCGGCGUGCCUAAUACAUGCAAGUCGAGCGAAGUUUUUCCGGUGCUUUCCCCGGAAAGACUUAGCGGCGAACGGGUGAGUAACACGUAAAGAACCUGCCUCAUAGACUGGGACAACUAUUGGAAACGAUAGCUAAUACCGGAUAAUAGCAUUAACUGCAUGGUUGAUGUUUAAAAGUUGGUUUUGCUAACACUAUGAGAUGGCUUUGCGGUGCAUUAGCUAGUUGGUGGGGUAAAGGCCUACCAAGGCGACGAUGCAUAGCCGACCUGAGAGGGUGAUCGGCCACACUGGGACUGAGACACGGCCCAGACUCCUACGGGAGGCAGCAGUAGGGAAUCUUCCGCAAUGGGCGAAAGCCUGACGGAGCAACGCCGCGUGAGUGAAGAAGGCUUUCGGUUCGUAAAGCUCUGUUGUUAGGGAAGAAUGAUUGUGUAGUAACUAUACACAGUAGAGACGGUACCUAACCAGAAAGCCACGGCUAACUACGUG
rnacentral:rRNA from 1 species